rnacentral:rRNA from 1 species
AGAGUUUGAUCCUGGCUCAGGACGAACGCUGGCGGCGCGCCUAACACAUGCAAGUCGAACGGAGUCAAGAGGAGCUUGCUUUUCUUGACUUAGUGGCGAACGGGUGAGUAACGCGUGAGUAACCUGCCCUGGAGUGGGGGACAACAGUUGGAAACGACUGCUAAUACCGCAUAAGCCCACGGCCCGGCAUCGGGCUGAGGGAAAAGGAUUUAUUCGCUUCAGGAUGGACUCGCGUCCAAUUAGCUAGUUGGUGAGGUAACGGCCCACCAAGGCGACGAUUGGUAGCCGGACUGAGAGGUUGAACGGCCACAUUGGGACUGAGACACGGCCCAGACUCCUACGGGAGGCAGCAGUGGGGGAUAUUGCACAAUGGGGGAAACCCUGAUGCAGCGACGCCGCGUGGAGGAAGAAGGUUUUCGGAUUGUAAACUCCUGUCGUUAGGGACGAUAAUGACGGUACCUAACAAGAAAGCACCGGCUAACUACGUGCCAGCAGCCGCGGUAAAACGUAGGGUGCAAGCGUUGUCCGGAAUUACUGGGUGUAAAGGGAGCGCAGGCGGACCGGCAAGUUGGAAGUGAAAACUAUGGGCUCCAACCCAUAAAUUGCUUUUCAAACUGCUGGGCUUGAGUUAGUGCAGAGGGUAGGGUGGGAAUUCCCCGUGUAGCGGUGGGAUGCGUAGAUAUCGGGGAGGAACACCAGUGGCGAAGGCGACCUACCUGGGCCACCAACUGACGCUGAGCUCGAAAGCAUGGGUAGCCAAACAGGAUUAGAUACCCUGGUAGUCCAUGCCGUAAACGAUGAUUACUAGGUGUUGGAGGAUUGACCCCUUCAGUGCCGCAGUUAACACAAUAAAUAAUCCACCUGGGGAGUACGACCGCAAGGUUGAAACUCAAAGGAAUUGACGGGGGCCCGCACAAGCAGUGGAGUAUGUGGUUUAAUUCGAAGCAACGCGAAGAACCUUACCAGGUCUUGACAUCCGAUGCAUAGCUUAGAGAUAAGUGAAGUCCUUCGGGACAUCGAGACAGGUGGUGCAUGGUUGUCGUCAGCUCGUGUCGUGAGAUGUUGGGUUAAGUCCCGCAACGAGCGCAACCCUUAUUGCCAGUUACUACGAAAGAGGACUCUGGCGAGACUGCCGUUGACAAAACGGAGGAAGGUGGGGAUGACGUCAAAUCAUCAUGCCCUUUAUGACCUGGGCUACACACGUACUACAAUGGCGUUUAACAAAGAGAAGCAAGACCGCGAGGUGGAGCAAAACUCAAAAACAACGUCUCAGUUCAGAUUGCAGGCUGCAACUCGCCUGCAUGAAGUCGGAAUUGCUAGUAAUCGCGGAUCAGCAUGCCGCGGUGAAUACGUUCCCGGGCCUUGCACACACCGCCCGUC